GCAGCCCUGAUCUGCAAGGAGCGGCAUCUCUGGCGCUGCUGUGCACAGCUGCUUCCAUGAAAGCUGCUGCCUAACACCACCAGCUCACCCUUGAAUCUUUGGGCAAAUCCAAGAACUCUCCCAGGCUAAGCCCCAGUCUUGGGGCUUGCCUGUCCUGCAUCAUCUGGCAACCAGCAAAGGGACAAGGACAGCGGAGAUGGUGGCAAUUGGCAGAGAGGCAAGACAGCAGAGACAGAGAGGCAGCAAUUGGUGAGAGACAAGAGACAGCAGUUGGCAAGACAGCAAGAGACGGUGAAGCAGUCUGUGAUUGAGGAUGUGGUGAAACUGAGUGGACAGCCAAGUGUCCAUAGUACAGCUGCCUCGUGUGGGACCCACUGCUCUAACGAGCCAGCCCCCGACACAGAAGCUGAGCACCCCCAAGCUGGGGAACCUAGAGAGACCUGCACCCGGGUCCCACGUGGAAGACUGGCUGGUGCCAUUUUGUCUUCUGUGGAUGGGUGAGAGUCCCCUUUGCACCCUCCCCCAGUAAUAUCAGGUAAGCUAGGAAAUAAAAGCCUUUGGCUAAGCGGUCAGUUCCCCACGGUUUAGGUGCCUUGAAGCACAUUCUUGCCACCCCUUCACCUGGUUCUUUCUCCUCUGACUCCAUUUUAUUGCUCCACUUUGGUUUCAUUUUCAGUCCUAACAUGUAUGUCUUGUUUGGAGUCUUAUGUUUGCUUUCGACUUUCUGUUAAUUGUAUUUGGGCAAUUGUUUAAGGCAGGACACUUGGUUGUGAGAGGUCCCCUGUUGUGUUGACUCUGGGAUACCAGAGUCACGUUGUCACGUUGUUCUAUGUUCUGUAACCUGGUCUUGGGUUCACGGGGUUGGCCGCCCACUGGGUACCCCAGGGUUUUUGGCACUGCUGUGCACAGCUGCUUUGGCGAGGGCAUCCUUGUUGGCUGAAACGCAGGCAUUUUGGGUUCUCAGCAUCGGUAUUAUAGGCCACCCUCCAGAUGCUCUGGGGUUUUUAGCACUGACAUUUCCUCUAGGAUUGUGGGUUAUACCCCUUUCGCUAGGCGAAUAUUGGUCUUGUCUUUUUCCACCCUGAAGUUAGGAGUAUUAUUUUCCUAAUAGCCAAUUGCAAGCUCCUUCCUGUGUACUGUCUUAUAACUCCCUUGCCUAAGCUGCUCUUGGUCAAAGGAAUUGGGAGCUCCCAGGCUCCUGGCCUGGCAGUCAGCCACCUACAGUGGUAGACAAGUGGCCAGCCCAAUAUUUUUUUCAGUAUCUCCACUACUGGGUAGGUUCUUCAGCAAGUCAGAGCCUCUGAGGUCUCCCCUUGGGCAACGCUGUUUACCCCUUUCCCUUCCUCCAUUUGUUUAGCCCCCUCUCCACCCAACUCUAGAUCUCUAUGGAAUUUAGGCUCCACAUUCGACUGCCCAUUCGUAGCUCAUAAUCCAUUUUUAUAACACCUUGCUAUCUAUAUUUACACCUUUAAAGAACACGGGAAUUUAAGAGGGAAGAGUAACUAGGCUUUUGCUAAACUUGGGCUAAUAAAACCCUCUGUAGAGAGAUCCUUAAUAUAGGCAUGGGGACAACAAGGAGUAUCCCAAGGGACUCGCCGCUAGGGUGUCUUUUAAGCUAUUGGAGCAAAUUCAAAUUUGGCUUAAAGAAAAAGAAACUCAUUUUGUAUUGCAACACCAUUUGGGUUAAAUACAAGUUAGAUGACGAAUAUAUCUGGCCUAAACAUGGUUCUAUAUACUAUAGUGAUAUUUUACGAUUAGGCUUAUUUUGUAAAAGAGAAGGAAAAUGGGAAGAGAUCCCUUAUGUACAGGCUUUUAUGGCUCUAUACUGGAUCACGUUACUUCCAGGCAUUAGAAUGCCAUGCAUAAGGGAUCCCCACCUAGCUGCUCCCCAUAGAAAGUUCAUAAGCCUCCCCAGAGUCUCUUCAGUCCCCCAGUCCUGAGUGGGGGUUCUCGCCAAUUCCCUAAUGAGAUUCCACCCCAAUAUCAUCAGGCACCUUUCCCCCUUAUCCAACUAGCCCUAGCCUAUACCCUCUGCUGCCCAAGAAAAUGAGCCCAACCAGUACACCAGGAGUGGGGCUCCAUAUCAGCCCCUAAGGUCAAGCCUGUGUCCACUGUGGAAAGUAGUUGAUGGAAAUGAGGGAACACUCAAAGAGUACAUAUGCCACUUUCCAUGUCUAAUUAGACCUUAUAAAAGGAAAGAAUUGGCCAGUUUUCAGAUAAACCAGAAAAGCUUAUACAAGAGUUUGUUACGUUGACUAUGUUCUUCAAAUUGCCACGAUUUACAAAUAUUGUCAUCCGCUUGCUGUGCUGUGGG
rnacentral:lncRNA from 10 species